UACGAAGGGGGCUAGCGUUGCUCGGAAUCACUGGGCGUAAAGCGCACGUAGGCGGAUUUGUAAGUCAGGGGUGAAAUCCCGGGGCUCAACCUCGGAACUGCCUUUGAUACUGCGAGUCUUGAGUCCGAUAGAGGUGGGUGGAAUUCCUAGUGUAGAGGUGAAAUUCGUAGAUAUUAGGAAGAACACCGGUGGCGAAGGCGGCCCACUGGAUCGGUACUGACGCUGAGGUGCGAAAGCGUGGGGAGCAAACAGG
rnacentral:rRNA from 1 species